CAGCAGCCGCGGGAAUACGAAGGGGGCUAGCGUUGUUCGGAAUUACUGGGCGUAAAGCGCACGUAGGCGGAUAUUUAAGUCAGGGGUGAAAUCCCGCAGCUCAACUGCGGAACUGCCUUUGAUACUGGGUAUCUUGAGUAUGGAAGAGGUUAGUGGAAUUGCGAGUGUAGAGGUGAAAUUCGUAGAUAUUCGCAGGAACACCAGUGGCGAAGGCGGCUAACUGGUCCAUAACUGACGCUGAGGUGCGAAAGCGUGGGGAGCAAACAGGAUUAGAGACCCCUGUAGUCCCUGUCUCUUAUAC
rnacentral:rRNA from 1 species